AGGACGAACGCUGGCGGCGUGCUUAACACAUGCAAGUCGAACGAUGAAGCUCUUCGGGGUGGAUUAGUGGCGAACGGGUGAGUAACACGUGAGUAACCUGCCCUUCUCUCUGGGAUAACUGUGGGAAACUGCAGCUAAUACCGGAUAUUCACUUUCUCUCGCAUGGGGGUUGGUGGAAAGUUUUUCGGUGGGGGAUGGACUCGCGGCCUAUCAGCUUGUUGGUGAGGUAGUGGCUUACCAAGGCUUUGACGGGUAGCCGGCCUGAGAGGGCGACCGGCCACACUGGGACUGAGAUACGGCCCAGACUCCUACGGGAGGCAGCAGUGGGGAAUAUUGCACAAUGGGCGGAAGCCUGAUGCAGCAACGCCGCGUGCGGGAUGAAGGCCUUCGGGUUGUAAACCGCUUUCAGCUCCGACGAAUGUGACGGUAGGAGCAGAAGAAGCACCGGCUAACUACGUG
rnacentral:rRNA from 1 species